rnacentral:rRNA from 1 species
UACGGGGGGGGCAAGCGUUGUUCGGAAUUACUGGGCGUAAAGGGCUCGCAGGCGGCCGACUAAGUCAGACGUGAAAUCCCUUGGCUUAACCAAGGAAUGGCGUCUGAUACUGGACGGCUUGAAUCCGGGAGAGGGAUGUGGAAUUCCAGGUGUAGCGGUGAAAUGCGUAGAUAUCUGAAGGAACACCGGUGGCGAAGGCGGCAUCCUGGACCGGUAUUGACGCUGAGGAGCGAAAGCAUGGGGAGCGAACAGG